rnacentral:lncRNA from 1 species
UUGGGCCAAGUUUAACCCACCUAAUGACGUAUCCGAUCUUUGAAGACGUGGCAGAUACUUGACACUAUAACGUGGAUAACCAAGCACUUGUGCUUUAUAUGGUAAUGGCAUCAUCAGCAAAUGACCGAAGUUUGUGUCAUCGGCAUAUGACCGGCUACAAGGUGGAGGCAUAGACGAAGUUAGCGUCGUCGGUUUUCAGCAGCUCUCACCUCAUUUCCACCCUAGCUUCCUAUAAGCUAUCUUCCGGAUCGGAUGUUCUCAAGAGCUUUUUGACGCAUGGACUUUGCUGAGUUGGCAUUCAGUUGCAAUGGCCCACUAUUUCUCCAGAUAUGGACAACUGGUUCUAUAACAAUCUGCUGAUACCCACUACUCCGACUCCAGCAGUCACAAUUCUGACUUCGACA